CACCGCGGUUAUACGAGAGGCCCAAGUUGACAGGUGCCGGCGUAAAGAGUGGUUAAGGAAAGAUACAAACUAAAGCCGAACACCUUCAGAACUGUCAUACGUUUCCGAAGGUAUGAAGCCCUACCACGAAAGUGGCUUUAUUCCCCCUGACCCCACGAAAGCUGUGAAA
rnacentral:rRNA from 1 species